rnacentral:rRNA from 1 species
ACGAACGCUGGCGGCAUGCCUAACACAUGCAAGUCGAACGCGAAAGUCCGCAAGGAUGAGUAGAGUGGCGCACGGGUGAGUAACGCGUAGAUAAUCUGCCCUCAAGCCUGGAAUAACUCUCCGAAAGGAGAGCUAAUACCGGAUAAUACUUUGGGACGAGUGUCCUGGAGUUGAAAGUUUCGGCGCUUGGGGAUGAGUCUGCGUCCCAUUAGCUAGUUGGUAGGGUAAAAGCCUACCAAGGCGACGAUGGGUAGCGGGUCUGAGAGGAUGAUCCGCCACACUGGCACUGAGAUACGGGCCAGACUCCUACGGGAGGCAGCAGUGGGGAAUUUUGCGCAAUGGGCGAAAGCCUGACGCAGCGAUGUCGCGUGAGUGAAGAAGGUCUUCGGAUCGUAAAGCUCUUUAUCUCAGGGAAGAUAAUGACGGUACCUGAGGAAUAAGCACCGGCUAACUACGU